UUCAUUGUUAAUGUUAAUAUUCUUUUGUUCUUUUGUUAUUAAGUGAUUAAAUCCUAAAUCAAAAACUACUAUUAACACUUAAAGUUUAAUAAAAAUUUUUAUACAAGAAUUAAUUUUUUUUUAUAAUUUUUAUCUUACCAAUAUGGAAGAAUGCCAUAGGAAGGUCAUUCUCACUAACAUUGACCUGUUAAUUGCACACACAAAAUACAAAGAACUUAUGGAGGCUUGUGUUAAAAACGGUUUGUUGUCUCACAUAAUGAGAAAAAACAUUGAGGUUGGACAAAAUGAUGAGGUCUUAAAACACAGACGGCUCUUGGAAAAAGUCACAAGAAGAGGACCUGAUGCUUACAACAAAUUCGUUGAGGUUUUACAACAGUUAAAUUAUUCAAAUGCUGCAAAAAUUGUACGACCAGGUGAGCAUAGUGGCACGAUGACAAGUAUUAAACAAAAGAAAUUGGAAAAACAAGCGUCAAUAAAAGAAAAUAACUGCAUAUCUAACAACGAAAAAAACACAAAUAAUUUUAAUUCUGAUGGUUGCAUUAUCUCACAAAUGGAUAUUGACGAAAAAGAUGGGUAUUCAAAAGAUUUAAGGCCAUAUUCAAGGGAAAUAUCAUCUGUUAAUCAAAAUGUUGUUGCUAAAUGUACUUCGAGUCCACAGCAUAUUGUGAAUCGCUCAAAAAUUAAAAUAUAUCAAAUGGUUAGCAAACAACGAGGAGUUUUCUUUUGCGUAAAUAUCAUUAACUUCAGAUACAAAAAUCAAUACAAACGUUCUGGAGCUGAAAUUGAUGGGCAAAGCCUCUUACAUUUGUUUAAAGAACUUGGCUAUUCACUUUUCUAUUACGAAGACUUAACAGCAGCUGAAUUCUUUUCACUUCUUAAAAAAUUAUUGGACUCAGAUUAUGUGAAAAAUGUAGAUAGUUUUGUUAUGGCGUUGAUGAGUCAUGGAGAAAUGGUGGAUAAAAUAACUGAUCGAGUUGAGUUCUCUGAUAGUUCGACGGUUACUGUGAAUAAUAUUCUAGAGCUUUUCCGGAAUGAUACAUGUGCAACAUUAGCUAAGAAACCAAAAGUCUUUAUAUUUCCUUUUUGCAGGGGCGCGAUAUCAGAUUUAGGGACCAAAGAUGUGCAAACAGAUAGUAUUAGCUAUAAUGUUGCUACUUUUACUGACAUUCUCAUUUGCUAUGCAACAGUGCCAGGAUAUAAGACCCACAGAGAUCCAGAUUCAGGAUCUUGGUAUAUUCAGAAAUUGUGCCAAGUUUUUGCCAGUCAUGCUUUUGACACUCAUAUAGAAGAUUUAUUAAAGCUUGUUGGUGAAGCUGCUGGUCAGAUCAGAACAAACGAUGGAAAAAUGCAAACUGCCAGUUAUUCAAGCUAUGGAUUCCACAAAAAACUGUUUUUCAAUCCUGGAUAUUAUGAGGUAUAAUUUAAACCUGUGUACAAUUCGUCACUUUGAAAUGAGUGAGUAGCUUCAAUCUUGGCUGAAAAGAUAAAACAGCAACUUAUUCUUUUCAGGUGACGAUAAGAGUUUCUAUGUAAAUAUGAAUAGAGCUUUUGUUCUCAUCAUUCCACCAAUCAUUGUCUCCCAGAAGCCGAAAUAGUUUGACUAUUCAACUUAACUAAGAUUCUCAUUUGGACUCUUUCUCUAAACAACAAAUAUUUUGCAAACAUUCAUAAACAAGAAUACUUCAUAUUAUAUAUUAUUUUUAUAUAAAAAAAAAGAAAGCAGUGUUUUUUUAGUAUUAUAUAUUUGAUACAUGGGUACCUACCUACCUACUUCUGUUCAAAUUAACAUACAAUUUUGUAUUACUAAUAUAAUGAAAUUUGUGUUCUUGAAGUACAUAUUAUAUUUUAACUUUUUGAUAUAAUACUAUAAAUUUUGAACACAUAGUAUUAGAUUUAAUUAAAUAUAUGCAUAGUUAUGUAAUAAUUAAAUUUACAAUUUACAUACAUUUUUAUAAGAAAUUUUUGUACAAAUAAAUAAUAUCUUAACUACAUUUGCAAAAGAUUUUUCAUUUUUUAAAUUUUCAAUACCCGGUAAGGCUUGAAUAUACAUACAUACAUACCCUUUAUAAUAGAAUUUACACAACGAAAUAAAUAUUAUUGAUUUAAUAAAAAUUUUGAAGAAAACGUCAAAAAUUUAGGUGUACAUACAUACAUAUAUGUUUUGGUAAUGUCUUGUAAUUAUUAUUAUACUCUGAUCUGCAAAUAAGAAAUACCUUGCCUUUUUAAGGUGAGGGUAUUAAGUUAUAAAAAUUUAUAGACGGCUUCGUUCGCAAUUAUUCUAUUGUUACAACCGCAAUUAUUCUAUUGUUAGAAUUGAAUUUACAGCCUGUUUGGUGUUUGAGAUUUUCAUACAUAUCCAGUUUUUAUCAGAACAUAACUUUUUGCUAUUUCAAAUAAAACAUUAUUGAAAGAAAGUUUUUUUUUGUGUUAUUUAUACUUUACAAAAAUUUUGUAAAUGGUUUAAAAAUUUAACAUUUUAGAAUGUUGCUACUUACUAAAAUAUAGUAUUAACAUUUUACGAUAUUUUCUUCAUUAAAUAAGAUAUACAGUUUUUUAUUUGAAAUUAACAUCAGAAAUGUCCGAUUCACUCUAAAUUUUCAAAAAAACUUACAAAAUAAACUAAGGUAACUGUAGUUAUUCAUUUAUGCCGAGAAAUACAUAGUUACUAAUGUAUAAAAUGUGCAUUAACUAGCAAAGCUAUAGAAAUGCUAUAUGGGUUAACUUUUAAAUGUGAUUGUAGCGUAUCGAAAAAAAAUUUUAAUACAAAUUUUUGAAAAAUUUAAAAAACAAAAAAACUCUGAUUUUGACGAGCUUUAUCUCGAAAAAUAUGGCACAAAUCACAUUGAUUGUAAGAAUGAAAAUGAAAAGUAACCAAUCGCUUUUAGAAUAAGCCUGCGAAGUUUAAUUUCAGGGAUGCCAAAUUGUAUGGGUAGGAAGAGUGCAGAUUUACACGCUUUCGAACUCAGCUUGUUGAGAAAAAAGGAUACUAGAUUACUGCAGAAAACCUUGCAAAAUCAAAAAGUUAAAUUUCCUGAGAAUACAAGUCAUUAUUUGGUAGUUGUGAAUGUUGACUUAAUUUUCAAGUUGUCUUUUCAGUAUGUUUUUCGAUUACAAUUACAAGUUCAGCGUUAUUAAUA